GACGAACGCUGGCGGCGUGCCUAAUACAUGCAAGUCGAACGAGAGCGCCCGGUGCUUGCCCUGGUCAAUCUAGUGGCGAACGGGUGAGUAACACGUGGGUAACCUGCCCAUCAGAGGGGGAUAACAUUCGGAAACGGAUGCUAAAACCGCAUAGGUCUUCGAACCGCAUGGUUUGAAGAGGAAAAGAGGCGCAAGCUUCUGCUGAUGGAUGGACCCGCGGUGCAUUAGCUAGUUGGUGAGGUAACGGCUCACCAAGGCCGUGAUGCAUAGCCGACCUGAGAGGGUGAUCGGCCACAUUGGGACUGAGACACGGCCCAAACUCCUACGGGAGGCAGCAGUAGGGAAUCUUCCGCAAUGGACGCAAGUCUGACGGAGCAACGCCACGUGAGUGAAGAAGGUUUUCGGAUCGUAAAACUCUGUUGUUAGAGAAGAACAAGUGCUAGAGUAACUGUUAGCGCCUUGACGGUAUCUAACCAGAAAGCCACGGCUAACUACGUG
rnacentral:rRNA from 1 species